CAGCCGCCACGGUAAUACGUAGGAGGCAAGCGUUGUCCGGAAUUAUUGGGCGUAAAGGGCUCGCAGGCGGUUUCUUAAGUCUGAUGUGAAAGCCCCCGGCUCAACCGGGGAGGGUCAUUGGAAACUGGGAAACUUGAGUGCAGAAGAGGAGAGUGGAAUUCCACGUGUAGCGGUGAAAUGCGUAGAGAUGUGGAGGAACACCAGUGGCGAAGGCGACUCUCUGGUCUGUAACUGACGCUGAGGAGCGAAAGCGUGGGGAGCGAACAGGAUUAGAUACCCGUGUAGUCCCUGUCUCUUAUAC
rnacentral:rRNA from 1 species